UUUUUAAUGCCCCAGUUGGCUGUUCUGCUGAUUCUCGAGAUGCAGCUGAGUGAUCUUCUUUUCUUGCUCAAGAAGUCGGGACAUCUCAUCAGGAAUCCUUUCAACAUCAUCUUCUUCCGCUUCGAAUACAAGGAACUCAAAAUUGGGAGAUGACGUCGGAUCAUUAUGUUCAAUGGGUUUAAGAAUCAACCUGCAUAAUGAUUUUGAUAUGAAAAGCUUUUUGGAAAU
rnacentral:lncRNA from 1 species